rnacentral:rRNA from 1 species
UACAGAGGUCUCAAGCGUUGUUCGGAUUCAUUGGGCGUAAAGGGUGUGUAGGUGGCGCGCUAAGUCGGGUGUGAAAUUUCGGAGCUUAACUCCGAAACUGCAUUCGAUACUGGCGUGCUUGAGGACUGGAGAGGAGACUGGAAUUCGAUGGUGUAGCAGUGAAAUGCGUAGAGAUCAUGAGGAAGACCAGUGGCGAAGGCGGGUCUCGUGGACAGUUCCUGACACUGAGGCACGGAAGGCCAGGGGAGCAAACGGG